rnacentral:rRNA from 1 species
GACGAACGCUGGCGGCGUGCUUAACACAUGCAAGUCGAACGGAAAGGCCCUGCUUUUGUGGGGUGCUCGAGUGGCGAACGGGUGAGUAACACGUGAGUAACCUGCCCUUGACUUUGGGAUAACUUCAGGAAACUGGGGCUAAUACCGGAUAGGAGCUCCUGCUGCAUGGUGGGGGUUGGAAAGUUUCGGCGGUUGGGGAUGGACUCGCGGCUUAUCAGCUUGUUGGUGGGGUAGUGGCUUACCAAGGCUUUGACGGGUAGCCGGCCUGAGAGGGUGACCGGCCAAAUUGGGACUGAGAUACGGCCCAGACUCCUAAGGGAGGCAGCAGUGGGGAAUAUUGCACAAUGGGCGGAAGCCUGAUGCAGCAACGCCGCGGGCGGGAUGACGGCCUUCGGGUUGUAAACCGCUUUCGCCUGUGACGAAGCGUGAGUGACGGUAAUGGGUAAAGAAGCACCGGCUAACUACGUG